GCUUACGGUCAUAUCACAUUUAAAGGACAUGUUCUCGUUCGAUCACCGAGAUUAAGCAGCGUUGGGACUAGUGGGUACUUAGCUGGGUGACCCUUUGGGAAACCUAGGUGCCGUAAGCG
rnacentral:rRNA from 1 species